GAUGAACGCUAGCGGCAGGCCUAACACAUGCAAGUCGAGGGGUAGAGGAGGCUUGCUUCCUUGAGACCGGCGCACGGGUGCGUAACGCGUAUGCAAUCUACCUUGUACAGAGGAAUAGCCCAGAGAAAUUUGGAUUAAUGCCUCAUAGUAUGUUGAUUUGGCAUCAAGACAACAUUAAAGAUUUAUCGGUACAAGAUGAGCAUGCGUCCCAUUAGUUAGUUGGUAAGGUAACGGCUUACCAAGACGAUGAUAGGUAGGGGUCCUGAGAGGGAGAUCCCCCACACUGGUACUGAGACACGGACCAGACUCCUACGGGAGGCAGCAGUGAGGAAUAUUGGACAAUGGGCGCAAGCCUGAUCCAGCCAUGCCGCGUGCAGGAAGACGGUCCUAUGGAUUGUAAACUGCUUUUAUACAGGAAGAAACACUCCCUCGUGAGGGAGCUCGACGGUA
rnacentral:rRNA from 1 species